rnacentral:tRNA from 1 species
GGGCUUGUAGCUUAAUGGCAUAGUAUUUGCCUAGUAUGCACGAGACCCUGGGUUCAAUCCCCAGCAGCACA